AGAGUUUGAUCCUGGCUCAGGAUGAACGUUGGCGGGGUGCCUAAUACAUGCAAGUCGAACGGAGACUGUAGCAAUACUGUCUUAGUGGCGAACGGGUGAGUAACGCGUUGGUGAUCUGCCUCGAAGUGUGGAAUAACUUCCCGAAAGGGUAGCUAAUACCGCAUAGUCUCUCAGGGUUUAGAAAACUGAGAGUAAAGGAUUUAUUCGCUUCGAGAGGAGCCUGCGUCCCAUCAGCUAGUUGGUAGGGUAAUAGCCUACCAAGGCAAUGACGGGUAGGGGACCUGAGAGGGUGGCCCCCCACAAUGGAACUGAAACACGGUCCAUACACCUACGGGUGGCAGCAGUAGGGAAUAUUAGAAAUGGGCGAAAGCCUGAUCUAGCAACGCCGCGUGUGCGAUGAAGGCCUUCGGGUUGUAAAGCACUUUUUGGAGGGAAUAGGAAGGAAGGUACCUCCAGAAUAAGUCUCGGCUAACUACGUGCCAGCAGCCGCGGUAACACGUAGGAGGCAAACGUUAUCCGGAUUCACUGGGCGUAAAGCGCGUGUAGGUGGUUCUGUAAGUAGGGCGUGAAAGCUCCCGGCUCAACUGGGAGAGGCCGUACUAAACUGCAGAGCUAGAGGAUGGUAGAGGGAGGUGGAAUUCCAGGUGUAGUGGUGAAAUGCGCAGAUAUCUGGAGGAACACCAGUGGCGAAGGCGGCCUCCUGGACCAUUCCUGACACUCAGACGCGAAAGCCAGGGUAGCAAACGGAAUUAGAGACUCCGGUAGUCCUAGCCCUAAACGAUGCAGACUAGGCGUCGGCGGUUUAAUCACCGUCGGUGUCCAAGCUAACGCGAUAAGUCUGCCGCCUGAGGACUACGGCCGCAAGGCUGAAACUCAAAGGAAUUGACGGGGGCCCGCACAAGCGGUGGAGCAUGUGGUUUAAUUCGAUGCAACGCGAAGAACCUUACCAGGUCUUGACAUCCAAAGAACCUUUAGGAAACUAGAGGGUGCCUUCGGGAGCUUUGAGACAGGUGGUGCAUGGUUGUCGUCAGCUCGUGUCGUGAGAUGUUGGGUUAAGUCCCGCAACGAGCGCAACCCCUGCUAUUAGUUGCUAACAUUUCGGAUGAGCACUCUAAUGGGACCGCCCGUUACAAGCGGGAGGAAGGUGGGGACGACGUCAAAUCAUCAUGCCCUUUAUGAUCUGGGCUACACACGUGCUACAAUGGAUGGUACAGAGAGCAGCGAAGCUGUGAAGUGAAGCGAAUCUCACAAAGCCAUUCUCAGUUCGGAUUGUAGUCUGCAACUCGACUACAUGAAGUCGGAAUCGCUAGUAAUCGCGAAUCAGAAUGUCGCGGUGAAUGCGUUCCCGGGCCUUGUACACACCGCCCGUCACACCACGAAAGUCGGCAACACCCGAAGCCGGUGACUCAACUCGUAAGAGGGAGAGCCGUUGAAGGUGGGGUUGGUAAUUGGGGUGAAGUCGUAACAAGGUA
rnacentral:rRNA from 1 species